rnacentral:rRNA from 1 species
GACGAACGCUGGCGGCGUGCUUAACACAUGCAAGUCGAACGGAAAGGCCCUGCUUUUGUGGGGUGCUCGAGUGGCGAACGGGUGAGUAACACGUGAGUAACCUGCCCUUGACUUUGGGAUAACUUCAGGAAACUGGGGCUAAUACCGGAUAGGAGCUCCUGCUGCAUGGUGGGGGUUGGAAAGUUUCGGCGGUUGGGGAUGGACUCGCGGCUUAUCAGCUUGUUGGUGGGGUAGUGGCUUACCAAGGCUUUGACGGGUAGCCGGCCUGAGAGGGUGACCGGCGACAAGGGGACUGAGAUACGGAGCAGACGCGUACGGGAGGCAGUAGUGGGGAAUAUUGCACAAUGGGCGGGAGCCUGAUGCGACAACGCCGCGUGCGGGAUGACGGCCUUCGAGUUGUAAACCGCUGUCGCCUGUGACGAAGCGUGAGUGACGGUAAUGGGUAAAGAAGCACCGGCUAACUACGUG